CUAGAGAUAGAAAGUUACUUCGGUACAUCGGUGACAGGUGGUGCAUGGUUGUCGUCAGCUCGUGUCGUGAGAUGUUGGGUUAAGUCCCGCAACGAGCGCAACCCCUAUUGUUAGUUGCCAUCAUUCAGUUGGGCACUCUAGCGAGACUGCCGGUAAUAAACCGGAGGAAGUGGGAUGACGUCAAAUCAUCAUGCCCCUUAUGACCUGGGCUACACACGUGCUACAAUGGUUGGUACAACGAGUUGCGAGUCGGUGACGGCGAGCUAAUCUCUUAAAGCUAAUCUCAGUUCGGAUUGUAGGCUGCAACUCGCCUACAUGAAGUCGGAAUCGCUAGUAAUCGCGGAUCAGCACGCCGCGGUGAAUACGUUCCCGGGCCUU
rnacentral:rRNA from 1 species